GGAGAUGUAGCUCAGUUGGUCGAGUGCUUGCCUAGCAUACAGGAAGUCUUGGGUUCGAUCCCCAGCACCA
rnacentral:tRNA from 1 species